GACGAACGCUGGCGGCGUGCCUAACACAUGCAAGUCGAGCGGGGAGAGAUUUUCGGAUUUCUCUUUAGCGGCGGACGGGUGAGUAACACGUGGGUAACCUGCCUCAAAGAGGGGGAUAGCCCUCCGAAAGGAAGAUUAAUACCGCAUAAUAUCAGGAAGCUGCAUGGCAUUCUGAUUAAAGGAGCAAUCCGCUUUGAGAUGGACCCGCGGCGCAUUAGCUAGUUGGUGAGGUAACGGCCCACCAAGGCGACGAUGCGUAGCCGACCUGAGAGGGUGAUCGGCCAAAUUGGAACUGAGACACGGGCCAGACUCCUACGGGAGGCAGCAGUGGGGAAUAUUGCACAAUGGGGGAAACCCUGAUGCAGCAACGCCGCGUGAGUGAUGAAGGCCUUCGGGUCGUAAAGCUCUUUGAUCAGGGACGAUAAUGACGGUACCUGAAAAACAAGCCACGGCUAACUACGUGCCAGCCGCCGCCGUAACAC
rnacentral:rRNA from 1 species